CGGUAACUCCAGCUCCAAUAGCGUAUACUAAAGUUGUUGCAGUUAAAAAGCUCGUAGUUGGAUUUCUGCGGGGACGGAGCGGCCGGACGCAACUUGCGUCUCGAGCUAGCGCUUUCCCCGCAUCCUGCCGCGAACCGUGCUACCAUUCGUUUGGUGGCGUCUGGGGACCGGCUCGUUUACUUUGAGAAAAAUAGAGUGUUCAAAGCAGGCCUGAUGCCUUGAAUAAUGUAGCAUGGAAUAAUGAUAAAGGACUUUGGUUCUAUUUUGUUGGUGUUCGGGACCGAAGUAAUGAUUGAUAGGGACAGUUGGGGGCGUCUGUAUCCUGAAGCGAGAGGUGAAAUUCUUAGACCUUCGGAAGACAAACAGCUGCGAAAGCGUUCGCCAAGGAUGUUCCCUUUGAUCAAGAACGAAAGUUGGGGGAUCGAAGACGAUCAGAUACCGUCGUAGUCUCAACUAUAAACUAUACCAGCUAGGGAUCGGCCAACGUUGAUAUCAAAAGACUUGGUCGGCACCUUAUGAGAAAUCAAAGCAUCUGGGUUCCGGGGGGAGUAUGGUCGCAAGGCUGAAACUUAAAGGAAUUGACGGAAGGGCACCACCAGGCGUGGAGCCUGUGGCUUAAUUUGACUCAACACGGGAAAACUUACCAGGUCCAGACAUAGGAAGGAUUGACAGAUUGAUAGCUCUUUCUUGAUUCUGUGGGUGGUGGUGCAUGGCCGUUUUUAGUCGGUGAAGUGAUUUGUCUGCUUAAUUGCGUUAACGGACGAGACCCCAGCCUGCUAAAUAGCGCGGCCGAGCUUUGCUCGGUGCGAGCUUCUUAGAGGGACCAUGAUGCGCGAUAGCACAAGGAAGUUUGGGGCAACAACAGGUCUGUGAUGCCCUUAGACGUUCUGGGCCGCACACGGGCUACACUGGCGCCUGCAACGAGCAUAUCAGCUGGCCCGAGAGGGUCUUGGCUAAUCUUUGGAACCGGCGCCGUGCUUGGGAUUGACCAUUGCAAUUGUUGGUCAUGCAACGAGGAAUGCCUUGUAAACGCGAGUCAUCAGCUCGCAUUGAAUACGUCCCUGCCCUUUGUACACACCGCCCGUCGCUCCUACCGAUGAAUGUUCCGAUGAAAUUUUCGGAGAGCGCCAGAGAACGGGGCUCUGCCUUGCAGAUCUGGAGGCUCAAAGUCACUUAAAUCUGAACAUUUCGAGGAAGGAGAAGUCGUAACAAGGUAACC
rnacentral:rRNA from 1 species